AAAGGUAGUUUGCUAGAGAUCUCUGUGUAUUUAAGGCUUUCUGAAGGUUAUCUGUUGGCACCUCCCAGAGUAAGUUGGGAUUGAACCACCUGAGAGGUAAUGCUGAUGGUCAUCUGAUGUCAACUGCGACCUGGAUCAGCCCAGAACAUGGAAACCUGCAAGUAUAAAUGGGCACCUAUGAAGAUGUGGCCUGGCACAAAAGGGGAAAAAAAAAAAUUAGGCAAAGUGAUUGCCUUCAAGGAACUAAUAAAUAUUAAAAGCGUGACUGGGGGGGUCACAUGGGACAGCAGACUUCAACUCAUUGCAAAGAUGGACAGAAGUUAAUAUUCCAGAACACUGUCUUUGCACCUGUCUCUUGGCAUCUCUCAUGUUCAUAUUUUGCCCAGUGAGAUCUCUGUGUUUUGAGAAACUAGAUACUCUCUCUUGAGAGUAUUUUCUUCCCCCUAUAUAUGCCUUCGGUUAUUUGCACAUACUUCACAAAGAGCUCUCCAUCAUGUCCUGUCUCCAUGGCUGCACCUAUGUUUUGGGCUGUGUGAAAUAUAAUGCAGAGGGAAAUACUGAGCAUCUUUGAAGGAACAUAGCUUUUACAAGGCUUCAGUUCAAAGCUCUGUUCACAACUUACUGCAUAAUGCUGGUUAAAAAGAUGCCCUCUGCCAGUUCUUUUAGCAGUUUCCUACAACUCCUCCAAGAUCUUGGUGCUGCAGGAUGUUCAAGGGGUAGCUUAGCAAUGUCUUCUGUACUGUAUUGGCAAUGUCUCACAAGGGAAACUGACUCCUGCUGAAAUAUCUAAUUUCCUAAAGGACAUGAGUAGUUUUUUACAGUUAUUGGAGGAGGUGCUGCAGUGUUAAGAAUGAUACUCAGAAAGACAGCUGGUUGUGUUACAGAAGUUACUGCUUACGGUGAUAAGGGUGAUCAGUGGUAAAGGAAUUGAUCAGAGAUAUGGAUCAGAUAUAGAGACAUGUUAAGGCUUCUGUUUCCUGAUCAGAAGUCAGUUCUCCAAGCGGAGAAGAACUGACUUGUUUAUUAAACAGCUGACAAUCUACUGAUGGUGUCUGUUUUAGGAUGCUUAAAUUCAGCUGGAUAACCAAUGAAAAAAAUGAAAAGAGCUCUUUCUGACUUCAGAGGAGUACGGGGAGUGUGUAUACUUUAGCAGACUCAUCUGGUUACCAUGAUGAUGGGAGAUCUUGACCUCACAACCUUGUGUUCACGUCAUCAGUAAUAAAUCCUUCUUGCUAAUAGUUUACAUUCAUAGAAGCAUCCUAAAACAGCCAAGGAAUACCAAGAUACAUACCAGAAGUCAUUAACAACUAUGCAUGAACAAUUAUAUGUGGAUUUACUGCAUUUAUCAGUAUGAAUUAUCUCCUUGCAGAAUCUAU
ensembl:lncRNA